rnacentral:rRNA from 1 species
CCCUUAGACGUUCUGGGCCGCACGCGCGCUACACUGACACAGGCAACGAGCUUUCCUUUACCGAAAGGUAUGGGUAAUCUUUUGAAACCGUGUCGUGCUGGGGAUAGAUCCUUGCAAUUUUUGAUCUUAAACGAGGAAUUCCUAGUAAGCGCGAGUCAUCAACUCGCGUUGAUUACGUCCCUGCCCUUUGUACACACCGCCCGUCGCUACUACCGAUUGAAUGGCUUAGUGAGGCCUCAGGAUCCGCGCUUAAUGUGUGGAGAAUUUGGACAAACUACGUCAUUUAGAGGAAGUAAAAGUCGUAACA